ACACAUUGACCCAAUAAUUUGAUCAACGGAAUAAGUUACCCUAGGGAUAACCACACAAUCCUAUUCUAGAGUCCAUAUUGACAAUAGGGUUUACGACCUCGAUGUUGGAUCAGGACAUCCUAAUUGUACAGCCACUAUUAAGGGUUCAUUUGUUCAACGAUUAAAGUCCUACAUGAUCUGAGUUCAGACCGGAGUAAUGUGGGUUGGUUUCUAU
rfam:Homo sapiens chromosome 7, GRCh38 reference primary assembly.